rnacentral:rRNA from 1 species
UACGGGGGGGGGCAAGCGUUGUUCGGAAUUACUGGGCGUAAAGGGCUCGUAGGCGGCCAACUAAGUCAGACGUGAAAUCCCUCGGCUUAACCGGGGAACUGCGUCUGAUACUGGUUGGCUUGAAUCCGGGAGAGGGAUGUGGAAUUCCAGGUGUAGCGGUGAAAUGCGUAGAUAUCUGGAGGAACACCGGUGGCGAAGGCGGCAUCCUGGACCGGUAUUGACGCUGAGGAGCGAAAAGCCAGGGGGAGCAAACGGG